AUUGAACGCUGGCGGCAGGCCUAACACAUGCAAGUCGAGCGGAUGAAGGGAGCUUGCUCCUGGAUUCAGCGGCGGACGGGUGAGUAAUGCCUAGGAAUCUGCCUGGUAGUGGGGGAUAACGUCCGGAAACGGGCGCUAAUACCGCAUACGUCCUGAGGGAGAAAGUGGGGGAUCUUCGGACCUCACGCUAUCAGAUGAGCCUAGGUCGGAUUAGCUAGUUGGUGGGGUAAAGGCCUACCAAGGCGACGGUCCGUAACUGGUCUGAGAGGAUGAUCAGUCACCCUGGAACUGAGCCACGGUCCACACUACUACGGGAGGCAGCAGUGGGGAAUCUUGGACAAUGGGCGGAAGCCUGAUCCAGCCAUGCCGCGUGUGUGAAGAAGGUCUUCGGAUUGUAAAGCACUUUAAGUUGGGAGGAAGGGCAGUAAGUUAAAACCUUGCUGUUUUGACGUUACCCAAAGAAUAAGCACCGGCUAACUUCGUG
rnacentral:rRNA from 1 species